rnacentral:rRNA from 1 species
AUGGGCGAGGCGGCGGCGGCGGCGGCCGCGCACCGGAGGAUCCAGUUCCACGCGUCGGCGGGGCCGGGGGCGGCCGGAGGGGCCCCGAUGCAGAGGCCGUACCCGAACCCCGACAGGCGCUUGGCCGUGGCGGCGGCGGCAAGGGAGAAGAAGGGGGAGGCGGGCGCGGGCGCGGGCGGGCUCGAUCGGGAGCUCGCCGCCGCCAGGGUCUACCUGCGCAGAAUCGGGGCUGGCUUGCGGAAUCUCGGCAAUACGUGCUACCUCAACUCGGUCCUGCAAUGCCUGACGUACACGGAGCCCUUCGUGGCUUACUUGCAGAGCGGCAAGCACACGUCGUCGUCAUGCCGAGCAGCUGGAUUCUGUGCACUGUGUGCUCUCCAGAACCAUGUUAGAUGUGCCCUACAGUCAACUGGGAAGAUAUUGACACCGGUGCAGUUUGUGAAGAACUUAAAAUGCAUUUCUCGUAGUUUUCGUUACUAUAGGCAGGAAGAUGCACAUGAGCUAAUGGUUAACUUACUUGAGUCCAUGCACAAAUGCUGUUUACCUUCGGGUAUACCAAGUCAGUCUCAGAGUGCUUAUGAGAACAGUCUAGUUCACAGAAUAUUUGGUGGCCGCUUAAGAAGUCAGGUGAGAUGUGCAAGUUGCUCCCACUGUUCCAGCAAAUUCGAUCCUUUCCUGGAUCUCAGUCUGGAAAUUGCUAAUGCUGCUACGUUGGUGAAAGCACUUCAAAAUUUUACUGAAGAACAGGCUUUAGAUGGCGGGGAGAAGCAGUACAACUGCCAGAGCUGCAAGAAAAAAGUUGUGGCCAAGAAAAGAUUUACAAUUGAUAAGGCUCCUGAUGUAUUGACAAUUCAUCUGAAGCGUUUUAGUCCUUUUAACCCUGGUCAAAAGAUCAACAAAAAAGUGGAUUUUCAGUCAACUUUGAACUUGAAGCCAUUUGUUAGUAAUUCAGAAGGCAUGGAUUUCAGAUACAGUCUUUAUGGUGUGUUGGUUCAUGCUGGCUGGAAUACACAAUCAGGUCACUAUUAUUGCUUUGUUCGGACUUCUAGUGGGAUUUGGCACAAUCUUGAUGAUAACGAGGUUUGCCAAGUUCGUGAGGCAGAUGUAUUGAGGCAGAAAGCCUAUAUGUUAUUCUAUGUGCGUGACAGGGUGAGGAGCUCAGUGAUGUUAAAAAAUAAUGGUGCUGCUGGUUCGUUAGUUAAGAAUGCUAUUUCUGAGAAGACCGCUAAUAUGAAUGGCACAAUUCGAAACGGUUUAAUGGAAGCAAAAUUGAAUGUUCCCUCAUUUACCAAUGGAGAUGUUAAGUCGCAGAAGCAGAACCCAGAUGAUGGUCGUCCUAGCAUUUUUGGCAGCAGCUCACACGGCCAGUGUUCAAAAUAUUCUAGCAGUACUGGAGUUAUUGAAGCCGCAGCUGUCCAAAACAAUGGUGUCCAAAACAAUGGUAUGGUUUCAGUACAGACAGCUGCUGCUACCUUGUCCAUCAACACAACCAAGACAACUUCAGAUAGUGAAAGGGAGAUAGUUUCAUCGGCACAGCCUGAUGUUAUUGUUCCUCAUAAUUCAAGCUGUGACCCGAAGGCGUAUGAGAAGCCAUUGCAAGAGCAGCAACCUGAGUCCGAUGGUGCAUUUACUGAUUCAGGUAAAGGCAGUAUUGCUGCCUUGCCCAUAUGCAAUGGCGGUGAUGGGAUGUUGGAAGAAAAUCACCAGGCUUCUGAACCUCGAACAGAUCCAUGUGGUGAACAAACUCUCAAUACAAGUAAGCCAGCGGAAAGUGCAGAAAUAAAGAAAACCAAGCAUAUGAUGCUUUCUGUUUCUAAUGGAACAAUGUCCAGUAGAGAAGAUUUAACCUGCUGUAAUGAAGCUAAAGAGUCAGCAGAGUCUGGGAAGCAACCUGAUGAAAUAGCUAUGGAGGAGCUUUCUGCGGAGAGCACAGGUGCUAUAACAAAUGCAGUGGAGCAGCAAAUGCAGGCUUCUAUGCAGAACAAUGAUCUGGUAGCUGGGCAGGCUCACUCUGAGACACACGUCUAUUCUGAAGUUUCCGCACAGGCGAUCUGCCCUGAAGUUUCUGCACAGGCGAUCUGCCCUGAAGUUUGUGCACGGUCGGUCUGCCCUGAAGUUUGUGGACAGUCGGUCUGCCCUGAAGUUUCUGCACAGGCGAUGUGCCCUGAAGUUUCUGCACAGGCGAUCUGCCCUGAAGACCCUGCACAGGCGAUCUGCCCUGAAGUGUCUGCGCAGGCGAUCUGCCCUGAAGUUCCUGCACAGGUGAUCUGCCCUGAAGCUUCUGCCCAGGCGAUCUGUCCUGAAGACCCUGCACAAGUGUUGGACAAGGAUCCAUGCCAUGGUAAUUUCCGUACAAUGAAGGAUUUGAAGUCCAAGAAGCAUACGGAUUAUUCAACUGUGCACUUGCUUUUUGUGUCCAAGCAACCUUUACUUGCUGCACUAAAACUGCACAAGAAAAGGAAACACAAAAGAGCUAAAAGGCAGUCCAUUGACAAUGGAAUCACUGCCGAUGAUCAGCAGACAUCAACAUCAGAAACUGUUUUUACCAAGGACAUAUCAUGUAAAUCCCAUAGAAGGCGCAAACGUUCCCGCGCCUCUGCAAGUUCUGAUAAUGGUAUUGAGAUAUCCACGAAGAAACCACAUCUCAUUGAGCGCUCCAGCAGUGCUGCUGACCUUCCGGUGGACAAGAAAGACGACAAGGAUGCAACACUUGCUAGUGCCGAGCUACCAGGUGCAUGCGUAAGCUCUGUUCCGGACCAGACUGAUUCAAGAAACAGCGCAGAUGCAAACGAGAGAGUCCCCUCGCAUUUUGAUCUGCUCACGAGGGGUUUGAGUGAAAUUACCGUUCCACUGUGGGAUGACAUUGACAUGUCACGCAGAAAGUCAGAGUUUCAAUAUCCGAGAAGGACCGAGAGUAUUGGUUAUGUGCUAGAUGAAUGGGACGAGGAAUAUGACCGUGGGAAAAGGAAGAAGGUGAGGAAGCCACGGGAGGAGUCAAAUGGACCGAACCCGUUCCAAGAGGCGGCCGAUGUCAGAGCACGACCAAGGAAGAGACUGAGAUCCGACCAGGCCAGAUGGGGAAACCAGCCUCGCAGGAUAUGA